AUUGAACGUUGGCGGUACGUCUAAUACAUGCAAGUCGAGCGAGACUUCGAGCCGAGCUGCAGACGGCUGACUAACACGUGGGUAACUACCCCAAACUCGGGGAUACCGCCGAGAAAUCGGUGCUAAUACCGAAUGGUCCCGCCAUGGGAAAGUUUUUACGGUUUGAGGGGUGCCUGCGUCCUAUCAGGUAGGUGGGGAGGUAACGGCGCACCAAGCCUAUGACGGGUAACUGGUCUGAGAGGAUGACCAGUCAGCUGGAAACGGAGACACGGUUCCCACUUUUACGGAAGGGAGCAGUAAAGAAUCUUACAAAAGGGACGAAAGGCUGAUGGAGCGACGCGGUGUGAAGUAUGAAGGCACUUGAGGCGGAAACUGCUGUUUUGGGGGAAAGAUUAUGACUGUACCCUAAGAAUAAGCACCGGCAAAUCACGUG
rnacentral:rRNA from 1 species